rnacentral:rRNA from 1 species
AGAGUUUGAUCCUGGCUCAGGACGAACGCUGGCGGCGUGCCUAACACAUGCAAGUCGAGCGGGGAGAGAUUUUCGGAUUUCUCUUUAGCGGCGGACGGGUGAGUAACACGUGGGUAACCUGCCUCAAAGAGGGGGAUAGCCUUCCGAAAGGAAGGUUAAUACCGCAUAAUAUCAGAGUACUGCAUGGUGCUGUGAUUAAAGGAGCAAUCCGCUUUGAGAUGGACACGCGGCGCAUUAACUAGUUGGUGAGGUAACGGCCCACCAAGGCGACGAUGCGUAGCCGACCUGAGAGGGUGAUCGGCCACAUUGGAACUGAGACACGGUCCAGACUCCUACGGGAGGCAGCAGUGGGGAAUAUUGCACAAUGGGGGAAACCCUGAUGCAGCAACGCCGCGUGAGUGAUGAAGGCCUUCGGGUCGUAAAGCUCUUUGAUCAGGGACGAUAAUGACGGUACCUGAAAAACAAGCCACGGCUAACUACGUGCCAGCAGCCGCGGUAAUACGUAGGUGGCAAGCGUUGUCCGGAUUUACUGGGCGUAAAGAAUGCGUAGGUGGAUAUUUAAGUGGGAUGUGAAAUCCCCGGGCUCAACCCGGGAACUGCAUACCAAACUGGAUAUCUGGAGUGCAGGAGAGGAAAGCGGAAUUCCUAGUGUAGCGGUGAAAUGCGUAGAUAUUAGGAGGAACACCAGUGGCGAAGGCGGCUUUCUGGACUGUAACUGACACUGAGGCAUGAAGGCGUGGGGAGCAAACAGGAUUAGAUACCCUGGUAGUCCACGCCGUAAACUAUGGGUACUAGGUGUAGGGGGUAUCGACUCCCCCUGUGCCGUCGUUAACACAAUAAGUACCCCGCCUGGGGAGUACGGUCGCAAGACUAAAACUCAAAGGAAUUGACGG